AACGAACGCUGGCGGCAUGCCUAACACAUGCAAGUCGAACGAGACCUUCGGGUCUAGGGGCGCACGGGUGCGUAACGCGUGGGAACCUGCCCUUAGGUUCGGAAUAACUCCCCGAAAGGGGUGCUAAUACCGGAUAAUGUCUUCGGCCCAAAGAUUUAUCGCCUUUGGAUGGGCCCGCGUUGGAUUAGCUAGUUGGUAGGGUAAAAGCCUACCAAGGCGACGAUCCAUAGCUGGUCUGAGAGGAUGAUCAGCCACACUGGGACUGAGACACGGCCCAGACUCCUACGGGAGGCAGCAGUGGGGAAUAUUGGACAAUGGGCGAAAGCAUGAUCCAGCAAUGCCGCGUGAGUGAUGAAGGCAUUAGGGUUGUAAAGCUCUUUUACCCGGGAUGAUAAUGACAGUACCGGGAGAAUAAGCUCCGGCUAACUCCGUG
rnacentral:rRNA from 1 species